AGAGUUUGAUCAUGGCUCAGAACGAACGCUGGCGGCGUGGAUAAGACAUGCAAGUCGAACGCUGACAUUCAGAUAGCAAUAUUUGGAUGUCGGAGUGGCGCAAGGGUGCGUAACACGUGGGCAAUCUGCCGUGAAGUUUGGGAUAACUCGCUGAAAGGCGAGCUAAUACCGGAUGUGAAAAUCGGAUGGCAUCAUUUGAUUUUCAAAGUUGGGGACCGUAAGGCCUGACGCUUCAUGAUGAGCCCGCGGCCUAUCAGCUAGUUGGUGAGGUAACGGCUCACCAAGGCUAAGACGGGUAGCUGGUCUGAGAGGACGACCAGUCACACUGGAACUGAGACACGGUCCAGACACCUACGGGUGGCAGCAGUCGAGAAUUUUUCUCAAUGGGCGAAAGCCUGAAGGAGCGACGCCGCGUGGGGGAUGAAUGGCUUCGGCCCGUAAACCCCUGUCAUUUGUGAACAAAUUGCUUCACCCAACACGUGAAGCAUUGAUAGUAACGGAAGAGGAAGGGACGGCUAACUCUGUGCCAGCAGCCGCGGUAAUACAGAGGUCCCAAGCGUUGUUCGGAUUCACUGGGCGUAAAGGGUGCGUAGGCGGUCGGGUAAGUCUGACGUGAAAUCUCCGGGCCUAACCCGGAAACUGCGUCGGAUACUAUCCGGCUAGAGGAUUGGAAGGGAGACUGGAAUACUUGGUGUAGCAGUGAAAUGCGUAGAUAUCAAGUGGAACACCAGCGGCGAAGGCGAGUCUCUGGACAAUUCCUGACGCUGAGGCACGAAAGCCAGGGGAGCAAACGGGAUUAGAUACCCUAGUAGUCC
rnacentral:rRNA from 1 species